UAUGCAGCUCAUGGGAACCUUCACUGUUGAUGCCUUUACAUUUUUUUAUUUAUUUUAUGUUUCGAAGCAAUUAAUCCGCCACACUUUCAAUGCAAUGUACCAAAGAGAAUGUCAUAAAAUCUUUUCCAAACCGGCAAUAAUUUACAAUUUCGCAAUCGUUUCGUAGCAGGAGAAAUUCCGAUUAAAUUCAAUUUUUCCAACACCAUUUGGGCUUACAUACCCAACCACAUGUGCCACGUAAAUCCGAAAAAGGUUCGGAACACAAUAAAUGUUUAAUGUUUCCAAAAUGUAAUAAACUUUGUAGUGA